UACGUAGGGUGCGAGCGUUUAAUCGGAAUUACUGGGCGUAAAGCGUGCGCAGGCGGUUUCUUAAGUCAGAUGUGAAAGCCCCGGGCUUAACCUGGGAAUGGCGUUUGAAACUACGGAGCUGGAGUGUGGCAGAGGGAGGUAGAAUUCCACGUGUAGCGGUGAAAUGCGUAGAUAUGUGGAGGAAUACCGAUGGCGAAGGCAGCCUCCUGGGCCAACACUGACGCUCAUGCACGAAAGCGUGGGGAGCAAACAGG
rnacentral:rRNA from 1 species